rnacentral:rRNA from 1 species
UACGUAGGCAGCGAGCGUUGUUCGGAGUUACUGGGCGUAAAGGGUGCGUAGGCGGUUGUUUAAGUUUGGUGUGAAAUCUCCCGGCUCAACUGGGAGGGUGCGCCGAAUACUGAAUGACUCGAGUGCGGGAAAGGAGAGUGGAAUUCCUGGUGUAGCGGUGAAAUGCGUAGAUAUCAGGAGGAACACCGGUGGUGUAGACGGCUCUCUGGACCGUAACUGACGCUGAGGCACGAAAGCGUGGGUAGCAAACAGG